rnacentral:rRNA from 1 species
AUGGGACGCAUCUUGCUCCUCUGCGCAUUCCUCCUCGUCCUACUUAGCGUGGCCAGCCUCAUGGAGGUCACGGAAGGGAGGGGCCGAGGCGGAUCGCGCGGCGGAGGAAGCGGCAGCCCGCGCGGCCUCAGCGGUGGCACCUGGGUGGCGUGCGUCGGCUCGUCGCUGCUGGCUGCCGCGGCCAUGCUCCUGUAG